rnacentral:rRNA from 1 species
GACGAACGCUGGCGGCGUGCCUAAUACAUGCAAGUCGAACGAGAGCAACCGGUGCUUGCACUGGUCAAUCUAGUGGCGAACGGGUGAGUAACACGUGGGUAACCUGCCCAUCAGAGGGGGAUAACAUCCGGAAACGGAUGCUAAAACCGCAUAGGUCUUCGAACCGCAUGGUUUGAAGAGGAAAAGGGGCGCAAGCUUCUGCUGAUGGAUGGCCCCGCGGUGCAUUAGCUAGUUGGUGAGGUAACGGCUCACCAAGGCCGUGAUGCAUAGCCGACCUGAGAGGGUGAUCGGCCACAUUGGGACUGAGACACGGCCCAAACUCCUACGGGAGGCAGCAGUAGGGAAUCUUCCGCAAUGGACGCAAGUCUGACGGAGCAACGCCGCGGGAGUGAAGAAGGUUUUCGGAUCGUAAAACUCUGUUGUUAGAGAAGAACAAGUGCUAGAGUAACUGUUAGCGCCUUGACGGUAUCUAACCAGAAAGCCACGGCUAACUACGUG